rnacentral:tRNA from 1 species
GCACGAGUGGCGGAACUGGCAUACGCACCGGGUUUAGGUUCCGGCGCCGCAAGGCAUAGGGGUUCGACUCCCCUCUCGUGCACCA